UGGUCUUGCAGAGGCUAUCACCAGCAGCAUUCUUUCAACAGGUCGUAUAGACCUCAAGAGAAAAUUAUUUUGUAGCAUACAAUUGAUUGGUGGAGUGGCUUUGACACCUGGUCUUACUCCUGUGGUGGAGGAGAGAGUUUUACAUGCAAUCCCUUCAAAUGAAGCAAUUGAUACAGUUGAGCGCAUAAUUGGUUCUGCAUCGAGAACAAAACAAACCCUUGUGUCCUGGAAAGGUGGAGCUAUCCUUGGAAUUCUCGAUUUUGGUCGGGAUGCUUGGAUA
rnacentral:misc_RNA from 1 species